rnacentral:rRNA from 1 species
GCGGCGUGCCUAACACAUGCAAGUCGAACGCGAAAGUCCCGCAAGGGAUUAGUAGAGUGGCGAACGGGUGAGUAACACGUGGGUGACCUACCUUCGAGUGGGGGAUAACGUCCCGAAAGGGACGCUAAUACCGCAUAACAUCCUGCCUUUGAACAGGUGGAGAUCAAAGCCGGGGAUCGCAAGACCUGGCGUUUGAAGAGGGGCCCGCGUCUGAUUAGCUAGUUGGUGAGGUAACGGCUCACCAAGGCGACGAUCAGUAUCCGGCCUGAGAGGGCGGACGGACACACUGGGACUGAGACACGGCCCAGACUCCUACGGGAGGCAGCAGUGGGGAAUUGUUCGCAAUGGGCGCAAGCCUGACGACGCAACGCCGCGUGGAGGAUGAAGGUCUUCGGAUUGUAAACUCCUGUUGCCCGGGACGAAAAGCUUUGACCUAACACGUCAAAGUCUGACGGUACCGGGUGAGGAAGCCCCGGCUAACUCUGUGCCAGCAGCCGCGGU